GGGGGGGGGUGGGGGGGGGGGGAGGGGGGGGGGGGGGGGGGGUGGGGGGGGGCUGGCUGCGGGGUUCAGCGGGGGGGGGGUGGGUACGGGCUAGGUGGCUGGCUGGUGGUGGGGGGUGGGGUCCGGGAACGGGCGCUAAUACCGCAUCCGUGCUGAGGGAGAGAGGGGGGGAGCUUUGGCCCCCCAGUCCUCAGCUGAGCCUGGGUCGGAUUAUCUAGUGGGUGGGGUAAAGGCCUACCAAGGCGACGAUCCGUAACUGGUCUGAGAGGAUGAUCAGUCACACUGGAACUGAGACACGGUCCAGACUCCUACGGGAGGCAGCAGUGGGGAAUAUUGGACAAUGGGCGAAAGCCUGAUCCAGCCAUGCCGCGUGUGUGAAGAAGGUCUUCGGAUUGUAAAGCACUUUAAGUUGGGAGGAAGGGCAGUAAGUUAAUACCUUGCUGUUUUGACGUUACCAACAGAAUAAGCACCGGCUAACUUCGUG
rnacentral:rRNA from 1 species